rnacentral:tRNA from 2 species
GCCCCCGUAGCUCAGUGGUAGAGCGCAGUCUUGGUAAGACUGAGGUCAUGGGUCCGAUUCCCAUCGGGGGCUC